UACAGAGGUCCCAAGCGUUGUUCGGAUUCAUUGGGCGUAAAGGGUGCGUAGGUGGCGUCGUAAGUCGGGUGUGAAAUCUCGGGCUUAACUCCGAAACUGCAUUCGAUACUGCGGUGCUUGAGGACUGGAGAGGAGACUGGAAUUCAUGGUGUAGCAGUGAAAUGCGUAGAUAUCGUAAGGAAGACCAGUGGCGAAGGCGGAGUCUCGUGGACAGUUCCUGACGCUGAGGCACGAAGGCCAGGGGAGCAAACGGG
rnacentral:rRNA from 1 species